GAUGAAGAACGUAGCGAAAUGCGAUACGUAAUGUGAAUUGCAGAAUUCAGUGAAUCAUCGAAUCUUUGAACGCAUAUUGCGCUCUCUGGUAUUCCGGAGAGCAUGCUUGUUUGAGUAUCAGUAAACACCUCAACUCCCUUUUCUUUUUUGAAAUUGGAGCUGGACUUGAGUGAUCCCAACGCUUUCUUCCAAGAAAGUGGCGGGUUGCUUGAAAUGCAGGUGCAGCUGAACUUUUCUCUGAGCUAAAAGCAUAUCUAUUUAGUCUGCCUAAAAAACAGAUUAUUACCUUUGCUGCAGCUAACAUAAAGGAGACUAGUUCUUGUGCUGACUGAUGCAGGAUUCACAGAGACAGGUUCGGCUGACUUUGUAAACUCGAUCUCAAAUCAAGUAAGACUACCCGCUGAACUUAAGCAUAUCAAUAAGCGGAGGA
rnacentral:misc_RNA from 1 species